AGUCCAUGGUGUGGGCACUUCCUCAGCAUUGUCUUGAAAUUCUCCCACUCCUAGUACAGGGUCUCACAUUCGUAUUGGUUAAAGUUGGUGAUUUCUCACCUGAGUUG
rnacentral:snoRNA from 1 species